rnacentral:rRNA from 1 species
GCUUAUGGCCAUACCAGCCUGGCUAUGCCCGAUCUUGUCUGAUCUCGAAGCUAAGCAGGUUUGGGCCUGGUUAGUGCCUGGAUGGGAGACCGCCUGGGAAUGCCAGGUACUCUAAGCU